rnacentral:rRNA from 1 species
GACGUAGGGGGGCAAGCGUUGUUCGGAAUUAUUGGGCGUAAAGCGCUCGUAGGCGGGGACAGGAAGUUCGUGUUGAAAGACCUCGGCUCAACUGAGGGGACCCGGCUCGAAUACUCUUGUUCUUGAGGCAAUCAGAGGGGUGAUGGGAAUUCCCCGGGUGUAGCGGUGAAAAUGCGUAGAUAUCGGGGAGGGAACACCCAGUGGCGAAAGGCGAUACCCUGGGGGUUUGUUUCUGACCGGCUGAGGGAGCGGAAAAGCU